AUGCACGCUGGCGGCGUGCCUCAUCCAUGCAAUUCGAGCGAACGGACGAGAAGCUUGCUUCUCUGAUGUUAGCGGCGGACGGGUGAGUAACACGUGGAUAACCUACCUAUAAGACUGGGAUAACUUCGGGAAACCGGAGCUAAUACCGGAUGAUAUUUUGAACCGCAUGGUUCAAAAGUGAAAGACGGUCUUGCUGUCACUUAUAGAUGGAUCCGCGCUGCAUUAGCUAGUUGGUAAGGUAACGGCUUACCAAGGCAACGAUGCAUAGCCGACCUGAGAGGGUGAUCGGCCACACUGGAACUGAGACACGGUCCAGACUCCUACGGGAGGCAGCAGUAGGGAAUCUUCCGCAAUGGGCGAAAGCCUGACGGAGCAACGCCGCGUGAGUGAUGAAGGUCUUCGGAUCGUAAAACUCUGUUAUUAGGGAAGAACAUAUGUGUAAGUAACUGUGCACAUCUUGACGGUACCUAAUCAGAAAGCCACGGCUAACUACGUG
rnacentral:rRNA from 1 species